rfam:Flavobacterium sp. 40-81 scnpilot_p_inoc_scaffold_63, whole genome shotgun sequence.
UAUAAGCUGCUGAUUGGAUGCGUAAAGGAUUGCAGCGGCAUCCUUUUGUCUCACGAAGUGAGCAAAAGAUACAGCGGAAAGCCUGGCCUGCU